UACGUAGGGACCAAGCGUUGUUCGGAUUUACUGGGCGUAAAGGGCGCGUAGGCGGCAAUUCAAGUCAGCUGUGAAAUCUCCGGGCUUAACCCGGAACGGUCAGAUGAUACUGCUUUGCUAGAGUGCGGAAGGGGCAAUCGGAAUUCUUGGUGUAGCGGUGAAAUGCGUAGAUAUCAAGAGGAACACCUGAGGUGAAGACGGGUUGCUGGGCCGACACUGACGCUGACAGCGCGAAAGCCAGGGGAGCAAACGGG
rnacentral:rRNA from 1 species